UAAGCCUGCGAAGGUGGCCUGUGAGGGUUGCUGGAGGUAUCAGAAGUGCGAAUGCUGACAUAAGUAACGAUAAAGCGGGUGAAAAGCCCGCUCGCCGGAAGACCAAGGGUUCCUGUCCAACGUUAAUCGGGGCAGGGUGAGUCGACCCCUAAGGCGAGGCCGAAAGGCGUAGUCGAUGGGAAACGGGUUAAUAUUCCCGUACUUGGUGUUACUGCGAAGGGGGGACGGAGAAGGCUAUGUUGGCCGGGCGACGGUUGUCCCGGUUUAAGCGUGUAGGUGUGUGUUCCAGGUAAAUCCGGUUCACUUUAACACUGAGGCGUGACGACGAGGCACUACGGUGCUGAAGCAACAAAUGCCCUGCUUCCAGGAAAAGCCUCUAAGCAUCAGGUAACAUCAAAUCGUACCCCAAACCGACACAGGUGGUCAGGUAGAGAAUACCAAGGCGCUUGAGAGAACUCGGGUGAAGGAACUAGGCAAAAUGGUGCCGUAACUUCGGGAGAAGGCACGCUGACACGUAGGUGAAGUGAUUUACUCAUGGAGCUGAAGUCAGUCGAAGAUACCAGCUGGCUGCAACUGUUUAUUAAAAACACAGCACUGUGCAAACACGAAAGUGGACGUAUACGGUGUGACGCCUGCCCGGUGCCGGAAGGUUAAUUGAUGGGGUCAGCGCAAGCGAAGCUCCUGAUCGAAGCCCCGGUAAACGGCGGCCGUAACUAUAACGGUCCUAAGGUAGCGAAAUUCCUUGUCGGGUAAGUUCCGACCUGCACGAAUGGCGUAAUGAUGGCCAGGCUGUCUCCACCCGAGACUCAGUGAAAUUGAACUCGCUGUGAAGAUGCAGUGUACCCGCGGCAAGACGGAAAGACCCCGUGAACCUUUACUAUAGCUUGACACUGAACAUUGAGCCUUGAUGUGUAGGAUAGGUGGGAGGCUUUGAAGUGUGGACGCCAGUCUGCAUGGAGCCGACCUUGAAAUACCACCCUUUAAUGUUU
rnacentral:rRNA from 1 species